GAUGAACGCUGGCGGCGUGCCUAAUACAUACAAGUCGAGCGAAUGGAUUAAGAGCUUGCUCUUAUGAAGUUAGCGGCGGACGGGUGAGUAACACGUGGGUAACCUGCCUAUAAGACUGGGAUAACUCCGUGAAACCGGGGCUAAUACCGGAUAACAUUUUUAACCGCAUGGUUCGAAAUUGAAAGGCGGCUUCGGCUGUCACUUAUGGAUGGACUCGCGUCGCAUUAGCUAGUUGGUGAGGUAACGGCUCACCAAGGCAACGAUGCGUAGCCGACCUGAGAGGGUGAUCGGCCACACUGGGACUGAGACACGGCCCAGACUCCUACGGGAGGCAGCAGUAGGGAAUCUUCCGCAAUGGACGAAAGUCUGACGGAGCAACGCCGCGUGAGUGAUGAAGGCUUUCGGGUCGUAAAACUCUGUUGUUAGGGAAGAACAAGUGCUAGUUGAAUAAGCUGACACCUUGACGGUACCUAACCAGAAAGCCACGGCUAACUACGUGCCAGCCGCCGCAGUAA
rnacentral:rRNA from 1 species